rnacentral:rRNA from 1 species
UACGUAGGUGGCAAGCGUUGUCCGGAUUUACUGGGCGUAAAGAGCGCGCAGGCGGUCGUACAAGUCGCGUGUGAAAGCCCCCGGCUCAACUGGGGAGGGUCACGCGAUACUGUUCGACUCGAAGGCAGGAGAGGGAAGCAGAAUUCCCGGUGUAGUGGUGAAAUGCGUAGAUAUCGGGAGGAACACCAGUGGCGAAGGCGGCUUGCCAGAAUGCGCUCGACGGUGAGGGAUGAAAGCUGGGGGAGCAAACCGG